CCAAUAGCGUAUAUUAAAGUUGUUGCAGUUAAAAAGCUCGUAGUUGAAUUUCGGGGUUAGCAGGUCGGUCGUGCCAUUGGUAUGAACUGGUCUCGCUGAUCCCUCCCUCUUGACGAACUGUGAUGCCAUUAAUUUGGUGUCGCAGGGAAUCAGGACUGUUACUUUGAAGAAAUUAGAGUGUUUAAAGCAGGCUUUCGCUUGAAUACAUUAGCAUGGAAUAAUGAAAUAGGACGUUUGAUCCUAUUUUGUUGGUUUCUAGGAUUGACGUAAUGAUUAAUAGGGAUAGUUGGGGGCAUUAGUAUUCAAUUGUCAGAGGUGAAAUUCUUGGAUUUAUUGAAGACUAACUACUGCGAAAGCAUUUGCCAAGGAUGUUUUCAUUAAUCAAGAACGAAAGUUAGGGGAUCGAAGACGAUCAGAUACCGUCGUAGUCUUAACCAUAAACUAUGCCGACUAGGGAUCGGAUGAUGUUAAUUUUUUAAUGACUCAUUCGGCGCCUUACG
rnacentral:rRNA from 1 species